rnacentral:rRNA from 1 species
CAUAUUUAACAUACCCCUAGGAGGGGGAUAGCCGCCUGAAAAGGCGAUUAAUACCGCAUAGGAGCCCAAAUCAAAAGAAGGGGGCUUUAAAGGAGGAAACUCCGCCAAGGGAUUGGGAUAUGCUCUAUUAGCUAGUUGGCGGGAUAAAAGCCCACCAAGGCGAUGAUAGAUAGCUGGUCUAAGAGGAUGAACAGCCACAAUGGGAUUGAGAUACGGCCCAUAUUCCUACGGGAAGCAGCAGUAGGGAAUCUUCCACAAUGGGCGAAAGCCUGAUGGAGCAAUGCCAUGUGAACGAUGAAGGCCUAUUGGUCGUAAAGUUCUUUUAGGGGGGAAGACAAAAGGACGGUACCUCCUGAAUAAGUGACAGCAAACUAUGUGCCAGCAGCUGCGGUAAUACAUAGGUCGCGAGCGUUAUUCGGAUUUAUUGGGCGUAAAGCAAGCGCAGGCGGAUGGAUAAGUUCUGUGUGAAAAGCAGCUGCUCAACAGCUGUUGGCGCCGAAUACUAUCCAUCUAGAAUACGGUAGAAAGUUUUGGAAUUGAAUAUGGAGCGGUGGAAUGUGUAGAUAUAUUCAAGAACACCAGAGGCGAAGGCGAAAACUUAGGCCGCUAUUGACGCUUAGGCUUGAAAGUGUGGGGAGCAAAUGGGAUUAGAUACCCCAGUAGUCCACACUGUAAACGAUGGGUAUUAAGUCUUGGGACUAGAGUCUCAGGGCUGGAGCUUACGUGUUAAAUACCCCGCCUGGGUAGUACAUAUGCAAAUAUGAAACUCAAAGGAAUUGACGGGGACCUGAACAAGUGGUGGAACAUGUUGCUUAAUUCGAUACUACACGAAAAACCUUACCAAGAUUUGACAUCCCUCGCGAAGCUUUAGAGAUAAAGUGAAGGUUAUCGAGGUGACAGGUGGUGCAUGGUUGUCGUCAGCUCGUGUCAUGAGAUGUUGGGUUAAGUCCCGCAACGAGCGCAACCCUACUCUCUAGUUGAUUGUUUAGAGAGACUGAACAGUAAUGUAUAGGAAGGUCGGGAUCACGUCAAAUCAUCAUGCCCCUUAUGUCUUGGGCUGCAAACGUGUUACAAUGGCGAGUACAGCGUGCAGCAAACCAGCGAUGGCUAGCAAAUCACUAAAAACUCGUCUCAG